rnacentral:rRNA from 1 species
GGAAUAUUGCGCAAUGGGCGAAAGCCUGACGCAGCAACGCCGCGUGGGUGAUGAAGGCCUUCGGGUCGUAAAGCCCUGUCGGAGGGAACGAAUGCUUUCGAGGUUAACAGCCUCGAGAGGUGACGGUACCCUCAAAGGAAGCACCGGCUAACUUGGGGCCAGCAGCCGCGGUAAUACGAAGGGUGCAAGCGUUACUCGGAAUUACUGGGCGUAAAGCGUGCGUAGGUGGUUUGUUAAGUCUGAUGUGAAAGCCCUGGGCUCAACCUGGGAAUUGCAUUGGAUACUGGCAGUCUAGAGUGCGGUAGAGGGUAGCGGAAUUCCCGGUGUAGCAGUGAAAUGCGUAGAUAUCGGGAGGAACAUCCGUGGCGAAGGCGGCUACCUGGACCAGCACUGACACUGAGGCACGAAAGCGUGGGGAGCAAAC